UACGUAGGGUGCAAGCGUUGUCCGGAAUUAUUGGGCGUAAAGAGCUCGUAGGCGGUCAGUCGCGUCUGCUGUGAAAACUCGGGGCUUAACUCCGGGCCUGCAGUGGGUACGGGCUGACUAGAGUGCGGUAGGGGAGACUGGAAUUCCUGGUGUAGCGGUGAAAUGCGCAGAUAUCAGGAAGAACACCCGUGGCGAAAGCGGCUCUCUGGGACGGUACUGACGCUGAGACGCGAAAGCGUGGGGAGCGAACAGG
rnacentral:rRNA from 1 species